CAUAUGGAAAAAGCAGAGUACAACUUUAUUUUCACGCCAAUCCCUAUUUUAUACGCGCACAUAUGAACAUACUCUUACCAAAGACGAGCGUACGAUCUGUGACACGCGCUGUGGACCAACCAGAGGACCAGCACAUUAACGCCGGGAGGGUCCCCUUGCAGCCUCUUUGCUCUGCCUAUUUCAUGCAUGCUUAUUUGGUACAUCCGUAUUGUGCCAAGAACAGCCAGGACGGUGAUGGAUUGUCACCACUUUACUGCUGCAGAAACUAGAGCUCUGGGAAGAUAUGCACGUAAGAGCUCAGCAAGAUGGAAACUUUGCUCCAAGCUGGUGCAGCCGAGAGCACAGAGUUCCCUUUCCCCCCAGCUCCUAGUCAGAGGGCUAUCUUCCUGGAAGAGUCAGGAUAUCAGCAUCUCUCUCCUGCCCCUAGCUACCUGCAGCUGCGGCUAAGCCCCAGGUGAGAAUAGCUGAGAGGCAAGGCUUCCUUCUUCUUCCCAGUCCCCACUCACGGGAUGGAGGCUUGACCAUGGGUGGAGUGUGCUGGGACCACUGUGGUCCAGAGUGCCCUCACCCUGGCCCAUUUGUAGUUCAUAAAUCAGAGGUUCCAAGCCAGGAUAGGCAAGUGGAGAAGACCUGAGGCUACUGUCUCUCUCUCCACUGAGUGCCCAGCUCCUUAAGUGGGGAUGUCACUCAGAGAGAAGAGUGCCGUAUUUUCUACUCUCAGCUCCAGAGCUGUGCUCAGAGAUUUUGCCCGGAGGAAGAAGCAGGCCUUAAAACAGAGAGCUCUGAAUCUCUUCCCACAAGAACUGAGUUCAUUUGUAACAUGGUGUCGAAAAGUUCAAGCCCAAGGUUCCUCUCAAAAGCAGUGAAGGUUGUGGUGAAAGGCAACUGCGAAGUGGUUGGUAGAUUUGUUGGAGAUACAGGCUAAACUGCAGGCCAGAGGGUUUACCAGAGAGGAUCAGGGAGAGAGACGGUGGGGAGGAGCUCCCUGGAGUCAGAACAAAUCUCAAACAUUAAUCAAAGCUGCUCAAACAUGUUUAUAUCAGUCAGUGGAGCAAUUUGUGCUACCGG
rnacentral:lncRNA from 1 species